UGGGGAAUAUUGGACAAUGGGCGAAAGCCUGAUCCAGCCAUGCCGCGUGUGUGAAGAAGGUCUUCGGAUUGUAAAGCACUUUAAGUUGGGAGGAAGGGCAGUAAGCGAAUACCUUGCUGUUUUGACGUUACCGACAGAAUAAGCACCGGCUAACUCUGUGCCAGCAGCCGCGGUAAUACAGAGGGUGCAAGCGUUAAUCGGAAUUACUGGGCGUAAAGCGCGCGUAGGUGGUUCGUUAAGUUGAAUGUGAAAGCCCCGGGCUCAACCAGGGAACUGCAUCCGAAACUGGCGAGAUAGAGGAGGGCAGAGGGUGGUGGAAUUUCCGGUGUAGCGGUGAAAUGCGUAGAUAUAGGAAGGAACACCAGUGGCGAAGGCGACCACCUGGGCUCAUACUGACACUGAGGUGCGAAAGCGUGGGGAGCAAACAGG
rnacentral:rRNA from 1 species